CUAAAUGGCAGCGCAAAUAUGUGGUUGCUUACAUCGAAGGAGGCCUCUAGAAUAUUCUUGCUGAAUCCUUGCAGGUAGGAUUGUUGGGCUUCUGUGCUAGAUAGGAAAAAGUCCUACAAGCCAAACAUUUAUCAUCACAUGUGGAGAAAAAAUGCAAGUUAGAAUAAAAAAAAAUAAAUAGUUCAGAAGGCAGUACUUGAAAUCUGUGAGGGUUGUUAACGGGUACGGCGAGUUUGAUUAUUCUGAGAUUCUCGUUGUCGUCAGGGUUAACCAAAAAGAAAAUGGUUCCCGCAGGGAUUUUCUGGGCAUGGCCUUGCUCAAGAAUGUGGGAGUCUCUGCCGUCAGGGUUUACCAAGGUGAGUACGGCUCUCCCUGUAAUUAACAAAUUGAUUGGCAUCAUUGGUACAGGAGAAGCAAAGUAGUAUGAUGUUAAGUCAGUAGCGAUUAUAGAUGAUUACUUACCAUUAAGGACAACUAGGAGGAAAUCCGCAUCAGCAUGGUGAGGAAGAAGGAGGGUGUUGGGUUUGGACUGGAACUCUACAACACGGUAGUUUUCAAGAUUCUGCAUUUGUUUGGAGCGUUGGUCGAACCUCUGGAGGACCCGAAGGUGACCGAAUUCGUUUCUGAAUAGAGUGCGGAACCACCUGUCAGAGUUGAAGUAGAAAGGGUUAUUUUUUCCUCUUGAAACGGACACUUCUGCGGCAUCAUGGUUCUCCCGGUGUACGAUGCCGAAGGAGACAGAAAGUGAUGCCAGGAAAAGAAUUCCCAGCAACAGAAGCAGUGGAACCCUUGCGCUCAUCAUAUUGAAUAUGAGUUGGGUUGGGGUAUUAGAGUAGUACUAGAUGGAAUAUUGUAGUAGUACUCUUGAUGGAUGAUGAAUGAAGUGAGGGAUGUUAUGAGGGUAUUUAUAGGUAUUAUAUAAGAGAGAAGGUCCUUGGAACAUGCAUGGAGAUUUGGGCAUGGGAU
rnacentral:lncRNA from 1 species